AAAGAUGUUAAAAAAAAAUGGAGGGCUAUAUAACAGAUUGUAUGACCUACCAUGCCUAACAUAAUAAUGCCUAGAACUUUACAGAAAUGGAUUGGCCAAUCCCUAUGAAAUUGGACUUGCAGGAAUCACUAGAGCAGUGAAUAAGUUUUCUGAAGUCUUAAGAGAAACUUGAGGCAUAAUUUGAAGUUGAACUAGAGAAAAUAAGGGUUUGGGCUGCCCUCACCCCCAACCCCCAGGGUAAGAAAAUCACAUCUUAGAUUAAGCCACAGAAAUGGAUACUAAGAUUCUGAGUUUAGUAAUAACCCAUAUUGAUUACAUGUUAUAUACCAGAUCUUGCAUCAAUAUUUACUAGGCAUUAUACAUUUAAUUGCCACCAUUGCCAUUUCUGGCUUUGUAGGUUUGAUCAGAUUUCUUAACCUCUCUGUGCCUCAUUUUCUUCCUGUUAAAGGGGGGACAGAAGGAGUGCCUACCUCAUGGAAUUGUUACGAGGAUUAAAUGAAUUCAUGGAAAGCACAUUGAACAGUGCCUAGUACAUAAUCUCUUAAUAAUAAUUACCAGCGCUAUCCAAGCUUCUCAGGUGACAAUAACUUGCUUGUUAUUACAAAAUGGUGGGCCCUGGGCUUGACUACUAACCUGUAUUUUGCCCACCUGCUGAAUAUGAGCAGCAAAUUUGAGGCUACACAGUAGUCAAAUAAAAAGGAACAUGAUAUGGUGGGUAGUCACACCAAGUUUUGUGUUUUGCUGCCAGUAUGCAAUUCAGUGGUGAUCAGGUGGCAGUUCUCAUGACGUCUGCAUUGGGUCUCAAGCGUAGCUGAGUGUUACCCACUGGGUGGCCUCUGCUUGACAUGAGUGGUUUGGGGUGAAGUAUGCUUAAUACCUCACAAUGGGUGGGGCAGCCCCUCUUUUUUCCUGCCCAGGAUGCAGUGGGACCUGCAAUGGUAUGAAUUUUUGUAUCCCUCUAAAAUUCAUGUAUUGAGACUUAACCCCAAAGUGAGAGCAUGAGGAGGCUGGGCUUUGGGUGGUCAUUCCAUUAAGUGCUUCGGCACAGGCCUCAUGAGUGAAAUUAGUGUCCUUAUAAAAGAAGCUAUAGAGAUGCCUUGCCUGCUUGCCUUGUGAGGACUCAGUGAGAAGGCAGUCUCAAAGCAGCCUUCAGAAGACCACCAAUGCCUUGACUUUGGAAUUCCCAGCCUCCAUAAUGGUCAGAUACACAUUUCUGUUUGUAAGUUACUCAGUCUGUGGUGUUUUGUUUGGCAGCCCGAAUGGAGUAAGAAAGGUUCAUUAUACAAUGUGGAGAGAAGGAUGAGCUUCAUAUCUUUCAGGAUAAGGAGGAAAAGAAAGCAAAGAGCAGAUUUGGAAAAAGCCCCAUUCUCCUCUGGUUCAUCAGAGGUCGGCACUCUUCAGGGCAGAAGUUGACAGCAAGUGCCAACUAGGUACUGGCCUGUGGUCCCAGCAGGGCUGGCCUGCCACAACCAAAGCUACUGCUGCUUGUCAUAAAUGGGUCUCUUGACCUUUGAUGCCUGAACAUUCUUGGGAAUGCAGACGUCUGUGAACCAAAAUCAAGGACUCUCAAGUUCAAGGCAUGGCAGAGUGUUGGGACAGGAGAUCUGAAGGUUCUGAAUUUCUGAGGGAUUCAAAAUGCAUUACUGGACUUGAAGAUAAGAAGAAUCUUUGCCUCAAUGAGGACCCCCAGCACCAUUGUCUGUUGAGGAUUUACUGUGUUAUCAGUUUACAGUCAUCUAACUAAAUUCUUGUGAUAAGCCUCUUGGCAUCUACUAAGAAGCUCUUGGGAGACAAGUGCAGAUGCCAGAUGGGGCACAGUCUGUUUGGGCAAUGGCUGGUGCUGCUGCCUGACUGGUAUGUAUCUAUCACUCCUGCUUGGAGCCUGCCAUAGUGGCCACCAUUUGUGACAGCGGCAGUGUGCACAAUGUGAAUCUAUAAAAAUCUGAAAAAAUGUU